rnacentral:rRNA from 1 species
CCAAAGGAUAGGUAUCGCUAUUC